AUGUCAGUCGAUAGUGUAUUUCCGGUGCCACCCGGUCGACCGGCCACGAUUUCGGCCGGUCACACGCGGAGCGUCACGCGCAGUGGGGUCCCUUGCACCGUUUUUCUCCUCUGUUUCCUUAUCUUCUCAGGUGCAAUGCUCUGGUCCACUCAUUCUCGUUCGUAUUCUUUCGCUAGUACUUUCCCUUCCAUCUCUUCUCUUCCGAUCCACCUGCCAGCAGCUCGCACCAGCCCCGCCUUGCAUCACAACCACACCAGAGAAGCACAACUCCCGCCGUGCAUCGCCGACUCACGACCACACCCCGCCGCCGCGAGCUGUCUCAUCACCACCACCGCGAGCCGCUGCGAGCUGUCCAGCUGCGCACUACGCCAGAGUUGCUCCAGCUGUACCGAGGGGAUGCGCCGCGGCAGCCGCUGCUGCAAGUCAAACACCACGCCGGAGUUCCUGGAAUCAGCAUCGGCAGGAGCUGCAAUCGGCGGCAAUUUUUGCUACAACCGGGGUUUUGUUUUGCUGGAACCAAUGACUCUUUUUGCUAGGAUCUUCGCUUUUCUCCCUCACGCGAGAUGUGUCGGGGGAGCUACGAAAUUCGCAAAGCUGGAACCAUCGCCCAAAUUUGCUGGAACCGACGGCCAAUUUUGCUGGAACCGGCUAUGGUGA
rnacentral:rRNA from 1 species